GGUGAGGGGAGGUGUUAGAAGACCUUUUAACUACCUAAGGAGUUUACAUUUUAUCCUCAGGAAAAUGGGAUGUCAUCGAAGCCCUUUAAGAAAAGGAGGGAUGUGAUCAGAUUUGUAAUUUUCAAAGAUUUCCUGAGGUGCUGUGAAUUUUACAGAUCAACUGAGACGCAAAACCCAUGUUCACAUCAUGGGUGAGUCUUCUAACUCGGACAACGCAAUCAACAAAUUCUAAGACCAAAUUCCGGCGGCACUGGCUCCAAAGGACUCAUGGUCUAUCAAAGAGCAGGACCU
rnacentral:lncRNA from 1 species